CCUACGGGUGGCAGCAGUCGAGAAUCAUUCACAAUGGGGGAAACCCUGAUGGUGCGACGCCGCGUGGGGGAAUGAAGGUCUUCGGAUUGUAAACCCCUGUCAUGUGGGAGCCAAUUAAAAAGAUAGUACCACACGAGGAAGAUACGGCUAACUCUGUGCCAGCAGCCGCGGUAAUACAGAGGUCUCAAGCGUUGUUCGGAAUCACUGGGCGUAAAGCGUGCGUAGGCUGUUUCGUAAGUCGCGUGUGAAAGGCGCGGGCUCAACCCGCGGACGGCACAUGAUACUGCGAGACUAGAGUAAUGGAGGGGGAACCGGAAUUCUCGGUGUAGCAGUGAAAUGCGUAGAUAUCGAGAGGAACACUCGUGGCGAAGGCGGGUUCCUGGACAUUAACUGACGCUGAGGCACGAAGGCCAGGGGAGCGAAAGGGAUUAGAUACCCCAGUAGUC
rnacentral:rRNA from 1 species